UAUACUACUGAAACACUUCAAAAAUGAGAGCCAUCUGCCACACAAGAGCAUGCAAAUUUUUUCUCUAUUUUUUUAAUUUCAUUUUUGUUAUACACUUGAAAAGGUCUUUUCUGCUUUCCUUCCAUGUCUUCUUUCUUUCUGCUUCCCCACUCAUUUUCAGAUGAGUUCAUUUACCAGUUCCAAAAUUAGAGUUGCAAGAAAUGCAUGGAAGGGGCAAUAUCUUUGUUUUAAAAAAUCGGAUUGAUUUUUAAUUUCCUUGAAAAUUACCUUUUUCAUGAGACUUAUGGAAAAUUAAACCAGAAGUGAGGAUGCUAAUGCGAUGUGUUAUUGAAAGGUAAGCACAUUUUUAACGUAGAAGUUAAAGAAGGAAUGCAGAUAAGCCUGAUACUCUUUUAUUGACCAAAUUAUUUAAUUAUUUAUGGCUUACUAGUAUUGCUCUCUAAUUAAAACAGUGUUAUGAGACCUGAUCAGGGAGCACAACCAGAUCAAGAGUAGAUUAUUUUAGAAUAUUUCUGGAACAAGUACCUUUAGUAGCAAUAUAUGCAUAUAUAUAAAUAUAUAUAUGUAUGCAUUGAAUCUCAUUAAUCUCAGCAGGUUUCUGUGUUUUUCUUUUUUUUUUUCAUUUUUAAAUACUCUUUGUUCUCUCCAGCAGCAAUUCCCAGUCUAUAAGGAUAUCUCUCAUUUGGGAAGCAUAGGGUCUAAUUCCUUAUGGAAUUAGGAACAAUUUUGUCAUAUGGCAUGUGAGAACAUCUCUCUCUGGGAGCAGCAAAUUGCUAUUUAUUUCUGUCAUCUCUCUGUAAGAGUUAUAGACAAACUGAGGAUGAAACAGGUUCAUCCAAAUUUGUAAGUGUGGGUAGAGGUGGAAGGAUUCACCUUUCGUUCUCUGGUGAAUCACAGCUAGUGAUUACAAUGGUGGUAGACUGCUUAGUAGACCAAUUUGUAGAAGACCAGUUGGUAGACCAAUUAGUUUGUUAAUCCAAUCAGUAACUUAUCCUUUUAAUUUCUUCAUUUGACUAACUUCUCUCUCGUUUUGUCAAUUAGAGUUUAAAAUGUUACUUUUUUCCACUCCUCCCCCCCCCCCCCAAUAUAUAUAUGUAUGUGUAUAUAUAUAUAUACAUCCAGAACUGUGGCUUUUGUCGAACUUGAAAACAGACUUUGCUGAUGCAGUGUCAGUUGCUUGCAGCAGAGAGUAAAGGUGAGGAACAACUGACAUAGAGAAUAAGUACGGGUGCAGACAGUUCAGAACAGCAUAAUGAUGCUCAUUAGCAUAGUUCCUGUUAAACCUAUUUGAAGUUAGUUAUGUGAGUGAGGAGAAAAAAGUGCAACCAGGUUCAGCCUUUGUAUGUGCAUGAGUAACAAUCAGUAGGAAUCAGCACAUGCCCUAGAACAGUUGAAAAUCAAGACUCUGCUCUUUUACCUUAAAAUAUUGUUCUUGUUUCUCUUCAGCAGUUGGGUCACAGCCUACCUGCAUUGCAUGCGUAUAGACUAACAGGAAAUAGUAAAAUUGAUCUGCAUCACAUUGUAAAUUCUUACAAAUGUGAGGCCAAUUGUAGGAAUUAGGAUAAAUCUUUGGGUUAUAUGCACAUGGAAAAUAACAGAAAAAAAAAAAAAGGUUAUUUAUUCACAAAUUAAUUCAGAAAUAAUUCAAACAAUUCUAUUCAUACCACUCUUUCUUGUCAGAAUCCUGACACUGCCUGCCUGAAUCUCAGCAUGCAGAGAAUGAAACAGGAACACUUUGGCUUUCUGCUCUUAUGAAGGCAGUGCUCCAUAUUUGUAUGACUUGGAAAUCUCUCAGGAUCAAUAAAUUUAAUAGGAACAAGUACAGAGUUCUCACCAGUCUUGGAGCCUGAACAAACCAUUAGCCAGUUUCAAGGCUGAAAUACUAUCAAGUUUUGAAUUUUUUUUUCAUGUAUUUUUAACUAUGUAAGAAAAAACAUGUAGCAUUAAAAAAUGCAACCAAUUUUAUAUAGACAUGGGAAUAGGUGUUAUUUUUUCCAGCUACAAAACUGCCGUUUGAUACAGGGACAGGGAAAUAUUUUUCUAGGUUUGUAAUAAAGCACCUGCACUUGUGCUGUUCUCAUGCACAGAGGAGUGCUGUAGCCCUACAUCCUAUGAACGUUUCAUCUGUGUGGGAAAUUCAGAGCUCUACAAGUCUACAAGCAGAGGGGCGGAUUAGUGUGUGUGUGUACAAUUUUCUCCAAAUCUAUUCCAACUGGCUCAACUUUUCCUGUUCCACUGAAAGCAGUAGAAGGGGCAAACCAGGCCCCAAAGCUGUGUUCUUAUGCCCCAGGUUCAAUAGUGCUUGUGGGCAGGUAGGACACACAGUACAUUUUGAAGAGUGAAAAGUCAUCAUUCCAUUGCUUUAUUCCCCACACUCCAUAGAGAAAAAGAAAUAAAAAAAGUCAAAUUGCACUGCAUGAACACUCAUAUUACUGGUCUUCAUUGUCAAGAUAAAGACAAUGCAAAAACCCAUGGGUGUAAAAUGAUUAUUUAUUACAACUGUUCCAUCUCUGACUUUUUUUUAAAUUGUAAUAGUAACAGAAGCACACUGGGAUGGGUAUCAAGACUGGAGCUCUGAUUAUGAAAGAUAGAAAUAGAAUUUGAAUACAGAAAUAAAAUAACUGGGGAAUGCACCUGGGGAAAAAAAAAAAAAAAAAAACAAAGUGUUGUCGUAGAAAGUUGUUUGGAAGACUGUACAAAAUUCUAGUUUUACUAUAAUCACUAAUACAGGAUCAGAGAAAGGGUAAUCAGAAAGGGAAGCCAAAAGAGAGCCUAGGUUAGAAGUGGUAUAUGUUUGGGUCAUUUAACCUAUCAAAUGUUGGCUGGCAGGAGGUGGGGUUGUUGUGUCUGUAAAUAUAGACUAGGAGUAGCAUCAGAAAAGGUGAUAAGAGUUUUAAUUAGAACUCAUUAUUAGUAUGAAAAUAAAUGCUGUCAACCUAUGGACAGUUAGGUCCACAGAAAUCAAGUUUACUUCAUAGGACACAGUGGGUACCUCACUGUUUCAGAGAUGAAGCUUUGUGGACAAGAUUAAUCUCCCUUCAAUCUAAAUGCAUAAAUAUUAGUUGACUAGGCCUAAGCUUAUUUUCUAUACAUCCUCUAUAAUAAAUGAGAAACAAAUAGCUUCUCCAGGAGUCUAUUCACUUCAGAUAUUAUAGAACUUAAUUUAGACCGGUGAGCAUCCCACUGCAUAACACUGCAUAACUGAUCUUUCACCUUUGGUCUUAUAAGGAGUCACAGGCAGAUAAUUAGUACUGGAUGUUUGCUUUUUAGACAAAUAAAGGAAGGUGAGGUGAUUAUCACUCUGUAUAUUUAGCAAAUAGGAUAUUGACGUUCUAUGGUGGUAAUAAUAGAUGAAAUACUUUUUAUAGAAUACAGAAAUGUACAGACAAUUUCUGACUACAGAGGUAAGCAGGCAAUUUUUCACUGUUCUCAUUGAAGCUGGGGUUUUUUUCUCUUAAAUAUACACAAGACAAAACAUUGUAAGUCAAAAUCUUAUUGAAUGUAGACAGUUCUGCCAUCCAAAGAUUCUUCUUGCCACUCAGCCCUUAUAUUUUCAAAGCAAGUUAUUUGUAAUAAUUCUUCCAUAGAAUAGCCAUCCAGCUGAAGUAUAUCAAUGAAAAUAUAUCUGUUUCACUACAGAACAAACCCUCUUGCAGUUUAUGUAUGCUUGUAUGCCUUCUAUUGCAACACUCACAUGCACAAAUAUUUUAAAUUCUGGACUGGUCAUCUUAUCCACUUGCUGCUAUGUAUUAAUUAACAUGGUUGCAUUAUCCUUAAUGUUAUCCCUAAUAUUUUUUUAAUAGAUAUUACAUAGAAUCAUAGAAUGGCCUGGGUUGAAAAGGACCAUAAUGAUCAUCUAGUUUCAGGCCCCCAGCCAUGGGCAAAGUCACCAACCACCAGACCAGGCUGCCCAGAGUUACAUCCAGCCUGGCCUUGAAAAUUACCAUUGAGUUUUGUCUACCAUUUCCUGAAUUCAGUAAUCAGCUUCAUAUAAAUAACACUCUACUGAAACUAAAAUACCUAGGUGCCAGUUGGCAUGGCUGAAUUUUUUAUUCCUCACUGGAGUAAGCACAUAUUGAUGUGAUAGACUGAGUACAAGUAUCAAACACACAUUGUCUGUGCCAAAUAUUUAUGUUGUUUGGUUUUGUGGGUUUUUUUUUGUUUGUUUGUUUUUUUAAUCAAGCUCCCCAGCACAAUUCUAAUGCAAAAGCAGCCAACAACUAUAAAUGAAAAGGAAUGUAUAAGAGAUACCUGAGAAGCUCUGGUUCUUUAACAUGCAAGUCAAAUGCUGGGGUCAAAAGUGCUUAUUCUACUCUAAUUUAUUUGCAUCUCCUAUAAAGGAAAUAGGCUUGGUUUUCUGAAGGAUAACUGAGACUCCUUUUCAUACACAUGGUAGAUUGUUUUGGAUGGCUACCUUCCAGAAAAUUUUAAUGGGGAGAGAAAAAUAUUUUGUGAAUGAAUGUAAAUAUUCUUUUUUUUCUGAGGUUUUAUCCUGAGUCACCUCUCUACAUUGUAUAGUUUACUUUCACAGAUUUCUUUUCAUCUGUCUCUAAACAGCAUGAGUAUUUAUCUAACGAUGUUGUGAUGAGGAAUGAUUCAUCCUUCAGGUUAAUGGAGUGCACAGUUGAAAAAGACUUUACAUGCAGGGUAUUGCUAACUGCUUGUUCUUAUAAAAGGGAAGGAAGUGACUCAGACAGGAGAAAUGCUGCAGUGGGGACUGUUGACAAUCUUCAGGCUGAUAGAAAAAGAAAUUGCUCGAAUAUAAGGUGAGAAAUACUUUUUGAUGGAAGGUAGGAAAUACUUUUUGAUGGGAAAAGGAUUAGUGCUCCAGAAGGUUAACUGAGGGAAACUGUCAGAAAAUCUCCUGAACCAUGCAGAGAUUUUGGAAAAGGUUUGGCAAAUUGAGUUAGUGGGACUGAAGUUACAGUGAAAGUGGAAUAUGGACUGAACUGAGAUCUGUGAUGUACCAGAGGGAUGAGUGUGCAGGCUCCUAUUUGCAGAAUAUCAGAAUGGCUUGUGAAACAGCACUGGAAAAGAGCACUGUGGCUGUUGUGACUGGGGUCUUAGAGUCAGCAACAGCAGUAGAAAAUAAUGGAACUAAAAUACCAGUGAAGUAAGAAGGAAUUAGGAACAUUUGAAAUAUUCAGCAGCAGGAAACAAUAGACAAUGAAAAUCUCUUGGAAAAUGACACUUUCUCCUUUCUAUGCGAUCUUUGUGUCAACAAAGAUUACUGAAAUUGAGAAAACUCUCAAAAUCUAACUUACUUCCACUGGUUGUGGCAACAUGCUUUAUUACCUUCAUUAUUUCUUUAUCAUUUGAACAAAACAUUUCUCCGUGUCUGCUGCUUAAAACUCACUCAGCCUAUGAUCCUAAUUCACAUGCAAGCAGGGCCUUACCUCAGUAAGUAUUUCCCAAACCAUAUGAAUGUGGAAUUACUCCUAUCUCCUUAGAGACCUUUGGCCCUUCUAAUUGCAUGACGGGAACACAAGAUGGGAACUGUUUUUUCUGGCUCUAGGUUGACCCUGCAGAAGAUUCUGGUAAAUGAUGUCACUAUGGGUACUGCGUCCCUUUGAGGACUCCAGGUCUGUGACCUGAUGAGUUGAUGUAGCAGUGGGACUAGUUUGCCUUUUGCUUGGAUGCAGGCACUGGCAGAGUGCUAGAUGGUUUCAUGCUAAGCUGAUGGAAUGGAAUGUGUCUGGAAGGUGGUGGGGACGUUUGAUAAUGGAUGAUGAGGAAGUUUUGCCAUGACAUCACGAAGUCUCACUAUUGAGGAUUUGCCUUGGAGCUGUCUGAACUGUG
ensembl:lncRNA